rnacentral:rRNA from 1 species
AUGAAGGUGGCGCAGCUGGAAGCCGAUCUCAGGGCGAGCGGCGAGGAGCUUGCCGCGCUCAAGCGUGAGCACGAGAAGGACGCUGCCGCUCAUGGUGAGCUGCAGGGUCUUCUCGCUGAGAGGAGCAAGGAGCUCAGUGCCACCAAGGAUUCCAAUGCAGAUCUCGAGUUGAAGUUGGCUACUUUGACUCAGACGCUGGACGGCGGCAGGGAGCGGGAGGUGGCCUUGUCGGAGAAGAUCAAGGCUGACGAGGCGCUGCUGGCGAAUGCUGCUACCGCCCACGAUUCCUUCAGGGAGACUGUGGAGCACUGGACUGAGGGUCUUGUGGAUCUUGCCGCCACCAUCGGCGGGGAGCUGGCGCAGCUGGGGAUGGAGGAUCUUGGGUACUCCUCCGACGAGCACCUCCAACCCAGCGCCAAGCUCAGCUUGUUCUUCAAAGGCGUGGCGACGGCCCUCCAGCGACUCCGGGAGAAGAUCCCAAAGCAGCUGGCCGAUGAGUCACGCAAGAUCUGCGCAGGAGCUCUCCAGAAGGUGCUGAUGAAGGUGGCCUUCCGCAACCCAGGCCUCAACUUCACCAACGUCCUCAAGUCCUUGCCGCCGGAUGUUGACCUGGAAGCGCUCAAGGCCCUUGUCGCACCCAUUGUGGACAAGGUGAGCGGGAUCAAGAGGGUUGAGGGCGAUCGCGUAGAUUAA